rnacentral:rRNA from 1 species
ACGGGAGGCAGCAGUGGGGGAUAUUGCGCAAUGGGGGCAACCCUGACGCAGCAACGCCGCGUGAAGGAUGAAGGUCUUCGGAUUGUAAACUUCUUUUGUCAAGGACGAAGUUCUGACGGUACUUGACGAAUAAGCUCCGGCUAACUACGUGCCAGCAGCCGCGGUAAUACGUAGGGAGCAAGCGUUGUCCGGAUUUACUGGGUGUAAAGGGUGCGUAGGCGGCAAGGCAAGUCAGAUGUGAAAUCUAUGGGCUCAACCCAUAGCCUGCAUUUGAAACUGCUUUGCUUGAGUGAAGUAGAGGCAGGCGGAAUUCCCCGUGUAGCGGUGAAAUGCGUAGAGAUGGGGAGGAACACCAGUGGCGAAGGCGGCCUGCUGGGCUUUAACUGACGCUGAGGCACGAAAGCGUGGGUAGCAAACAGGAUUAGAUACCCUGGUA